UAGGGAAUAUUGGUCAAUGGACGAAAGUCUGAACCAGCCAUGCCGCGUGCAGGAAGAAGGUCCUCUGGAUUGUAAACUGCUUUUGUCCGGGAAUAAAUCUGUCUUAAGAGGCAGUUGAAGGUACCGGGAGAAUAAGCACCGGCUAACUCCGUGCCAGCAGCCGCGGUAAUACGGAGGGUGCAAGCGUUGUCCGGAUUUAUUGGGUUUAAAGGGUGCGUAGGCGGCCUAUUAAGUCAGUGGUGAAAGCCGG
rnacentral:rRNA from 1 species